CCUACGGGAGGCAGCAGUCGGGAAUAUUGCUCAAUGGGGGAAACCCUGAAGCAGCAACGCCGCGUGGUGGAUGAAGGUUUUAGGAUUGUGAACUCCUUUUGUGAGUGGAGCUAAUGACGGUAUCACACGAAUACGCACCGGCUAACUCCGUGCCAGCAGCCGCGGUAAUACGGAGGGUGCAAGCGUUACUCGGAAUCACUGGGCGUAAAGAGUGCGCAGGCGGGCUUGUAAGUCAGAUGUGAAAUCCUGUAGCUUAACUAGAGAACUGCAUUUGAAACUAUGAGUAUAGAGUGUGGGAGAGGUAGGUGGAAUUCUUGGUGUAGGAGUAAAAUCCGGAGAUAUCGAGAGGAACACUCAUGGCGAAGGCGAGCGACGGGAACAUUACUGACGCUCAGGCACGAAGGCGUGGGGAGCAAACAGGAUUAGAUACCCCGGUAGUC
rnacentral:rRNA from 1 species